rfam:Pseudomonas stutzeri A1501, complete genome.
UGCAGCCCGCGAGUUUACUGGCCUGCGGGCUGGGGUCUUGCUUAUUCGGGCUGCUGUGAUAGUGUCUCCGGCAGGUCAGCAAAACCCCGCCUUCGGGCGGGGUUUUGCUUUUUU